CAGGGCCUCCGGGUAAUUAUAGAGUCGGCUCUGUGGUUGUCUUCCAGGAAAUGGCAAGUACCAGUUGCCCUAGUGUGUCCCUGCAGACUUCACUCAAGGGACAACAGGAAACAAAUGCCAUAUAAGGGCAUCCCACGGCAGCUGCUGCUUUUCUGAGGACAAUUGGAAGGUUGUACGUUUGGCAGGAGUAGCAGCUAAAUCAACCUUGAUGAAUGGGAACCUAGGUUGGACAUAUGCAUAGCCUCUCUCCCUGCCAUGAUGGUUACUUCAUCCACUUGGCCAUCUGAUUGGGGUUGCUGAUGACAGAGGCUGACUGAUAUGCAAUUGGUUAAAAAUCUUGAGAUGAAACAUCUUGGAAUCGUCCUGAACAUAUCUUGACUUGUGUUUUUAUAAGAAGAGGAGAGCACAAGAGAGCUCCAUAGGGAAGAAGGUGAUAUGACAACAGUGGCAGAAAUUGGAAUGAUGAGUCUGCAAGUCAAGGAACACCAAGAAUUGCCAGCAAUCACCAGAAGCUAGGAGAGAGGCCCGGGAUGCUUUCUUCCUUGGAGCCUCCAGAAAAACCAACCCUGCUGACAACUUGAUUUCAGACUUCUGGCCUCCUAAACCAUGAGGGAGUAAAUUAUUUUUAUUUUUUUUGUAGAGACAGAGUCUUGCUACAUUGCCCAGGCUGAUCUUGAACUCCUGGCCUCAAGAGAUCCUCCUGCCUUGGCCUCCCAAAGCUCUGGAAUUAUAGGAGUGAAUCACUGUACCCAGCCAAGAGGGAGUAAACUGAAGCUGCUCAAUUUGUGGUCAUUUCCAUGGCAGCUCAGUGAAACUAGUACAGUCCCUGACCAGCAGGCCAUGCGUUGGCCACUGUCCAUAAGUCCAUGUAUAUUUUAAUCUUGGAUCACUUCCUUUUUUGUACAAAGUGGAUGAUCAGGUACCCAGCUUGAAGCUCUAAUCAUGUGGAAAAUUUCUCUUACCACCACCCUUCAAGGCUAUCCCUUAAACUUCUAUGACAGCAGAUGUCUCUGACAAUAAAUUUAAUAUAUUAAAACUGAAAAUGUCUGAAUAUUAAAAGAUAUUUUGAAGAAAGUGGAAAAAUAAACUGAGACAAAAUAUUCAUGACACCCUGGCAAAGAAUUGAUAGCAAUAAUAUCUAAAGGACCUAAAGGACAUCUGUAAGCUAAUAAAGAAUGGCCAUACCAGUGAUUUAAAAAUGGACAAAAGCCAUGAAUAGGAAGCUCACAGAAGAGAUAAAACAUAUGGCCAAUAAACCUACAAAGAGAUACUCAAGUUCAUUAGUGAUCAGUGAAAUGGAUAACCAAAAAUCAGGAUGACAAUGAGAUACUAUUUUAAACAUAGUAAAUUGGCAAGUUUAAAAAGUCUAAUAACACAAAAUAUUGGGAAGGUUGUGGAUCAGUAGAUUAGUUUAUAGUUUGCUGGUGGGAGUGUUCAACCACUUUAGCAAGGAAUUUGGCAUUAUCUCUUAAAGCUGGAGACUCAUAUAUCUAUGAUGAGUAAUUCUACACUGGGCAUAUACUCAAAAGAAAUUAUUGCAGGUGUACAUUAGGAGACAUCUACAAGAAUGUCCAUGGAAGCAUUUCUGUUUGAAAUAGCAAAAGCUUUGAAAAAAACUUACAUGCCUCAUGACAGGAGAAGAGAUAAAUUGUGGUACCUUCAUACAAUAAAAUAUCUUACUGGAAAGAAAAUGAAUAUAAACGAUGCUAGAAAUAUAAUUUGAAUAAAAAUUAAGCUCUCAAAAGGUUACAUGUACUACAAAACACAUUUUAAAAAGUUACAAACAACAUGAAGGGUUGUUGAAUUUUGUCAAAGGCUUUUUCUGCAUCUAUUGAGAUAAUCAUGUGGUUUUUGUCUUUGGCUCUGUUUAUAUGCUGGAUUACAUUUAUUGAUUUGCGUAUAUUGAACCAGCCUUGCAUCCCAGGGAUGAAGCCCACUUGAUCAUGGUGGAUAAGCUUUUUGAUGUGCUGCUGGAUUCGGUUUGCCAAUAUUUUAGGUAUUGAUGG
rnacentral:lncRNA from 10 species